rfam:Bacillus marisflavi strain JCM 11544 scaffold1, whole genome shotgun sequence.
CGAGUCCUGAUGUGUCCGACGUUUUAACCUAUCAGUUUUGACCGAACACUUCAAACCUUGGGAGCUUGACUUUUCGCUAGGCGUUCAUGCCUCGCUUCAAGAGGACUAACAAGUAGUGGAAUAAAGCACCCACCUGCCGAGAGCGGGUUCAAAACAAAGGAAACGCAGCGACGGCACGAUUGGGACUCGU